rnacentral:hammerhead_ribozyme from 1 species
AUCCAACUGACGAGUCCAAAAUACGACGAAACGCGCAUCCUGGAU